CGCGGGGUGUCUCGCGAGAACGCAGGAGUAGUCGAGCGGUAGCACAGAGAGCUUGCUCUCGGGUGACGAGCGGCGGACGGGUGAGUAAUGUCUGGGAAACUGCCUGAUGGAGGGGGAUAACUACUGGAAACGGUAGCUAAUACCGCAUAAUGUCGCAAGACCAAAGUGGGGGACCUUCGGGCCUCAUGCCAUCAGAUGUGCCCAGAUGGGAUUAGCUAGUAGGUGGGGUAACGGCUCACCUAGGCGACGAUCCCUAGCUGGUCUGAGAGGAUGACCAGCCACACUGGAACUGAGACACGGUCCAGACUCCUACGGGAGGCAGCAGUGGGGAAUAUUGCACAAUGGGCGCAAGCCUGAUGCAGCCAUGCCGCGUGUGUGAAGAAGGCCUUCGGGUUGUAAAGUACUUUCAGCGGGGAGGAAGGCGAUAAGGUUAAUAACCUUGUCGAUUGACGUUACCCGCAGAAGAAGCACCGGCUAACUCCGUGCCAGCAGCCGCGGUAAUACGGAGGGUGCAAGCGUUAAUCGGAAUUACUGGGCGUAAAGCGCACGCAGGCGGUCUGUCAAGUCGGAUGUGAAAUCCCCGGGCUCAACCUGGGAACUGCAUUCGAAACUGGCAGGCUAGAGUCUUGUAGAGGGGGGUAGAAUUCCAGGUGUAGCGGUGAAAUGCGUAGAGAUCUGGAGGAAUACCGGUGGCGAAGGCGGCCCCCUGGACAAAGACUGACGCUCAGGUGCGAAAGCGUGGGGAGCAAACAGGAUUAGAUACCCUGGUAGUCCACGCCGUAAACGAUGUCGAUUUGGAGGUUGUGCCCUUGAGGCGUGGCUUCCGGAGCUAACGCGUUAAAUCGACCGCCUGGGGAGUACGGCCGCAAGGUUAAAACUCAAAUGAAUUGACGGGGGCCCGCACAAGCGGUGGAGCAUGUGGUUUAAUUCGAUGCAACGCGAAGAACCUUACCUGGUCUUGACAUCCACAGAACUUACCAGAGAUGGCUUGGUGCCUUCGGGAACUGUGAGACAGGUGCUGCAUGGCUGUCGUCAGCUCGUGUUGUGAAAUGUUGGGUUAAGUCCCGCAACGAGCGCAACCCUUAUCCUUUGUUGCCAGCGGUUCGGCCGGGAACUCAAAGGAGACUGCCAGUGAUAAACUGGAGGAAGGUGGGGAUGACGUCAAGUCAUCAUGGCCCUUACGACCAGGGCUACACACGUGCUACAAUGGCAUAUACAAAGAGAAGCGACCUCGCGAGAGCAAGCGGACCUCAUAAAGUAUGUCGUAGUCCGGAUUGGAGUCUGCAACUCGACUCCAUGAAGUCGGAAUCGCUAGUAAUCGUAGAUCAGAAUGCUACGGUGAAUACGUUCCCGGGCCUUGUACACACCGCCCGUCACACCAUGGGAGUGGGUUGCAAAAGAAGUAGGUAGCUUAACCUUCGGGAGGGUAGUAUAGACGUAUAGCAGGCGCCCCCC
rnacentral:rRNA from 1 species